rnacentral:tRNA from 1 species
GUAGCGCAGUAGAUAGCGUCUUGGACUUCUAAUCCAAAGGUCGUGAGUUCGAAUCCCCCUACA